GUGUCCCCCAGUUUCCCCACUGUUAAACGGUUGGACGGACGUUUCCAAUUACACCAGGAACGUUUCGAGUUAUUCCGGACGAUCGCCGCUACAAGUUGGCGGGAGUUAUCAGCCUGUCGAGUGCCGAACGAAUUGCAAACUUGCCGUCGUGGUUCCUUACAGGAACCGGAAUUCCCAGUUGGAUAUUUUUCUUCAUUACCUCCACCCGUUUCUUCAGCGGCAGCAGCUUGACUACACCAUCUUCGUCGAAGAACAAACUGACAAAACACCUGUUUCAUCUGAUUGGACAAAGUUUGAACUUUGUUUAUGAAUGAGUCCACUAAGUCCAGCGUAUCUAAGCAUUGAGUGGGUUUCCUGUUUUCUGUCAUGUGGUGGCUGUCGUGUGGUGGAUUGUUUGCAGUUAGAUCAUUUGAGUGGAUCAAGUUCGGGAGGGUGAUAUCACUUGGUGUGUUUAUUGUGUUCAUUAGGAAGGACGAACCCAUUUUGUCACCCGCGAUAUCCGAAAAUAAUAAAUGAUGAGACUCGGAAUGGGAAUGAAGUCAAAGCUGUGAGUGUCCGAGUGCAUUAUACCCGUUAACACAACAAGGCAGAAAUAGAGCUCAGGUCAAAAUAAUUUGUAUUAUUCGUAAUAGGACAACAUUCCACAGCAGAUAGCGCAGCGUAGAAUUUAUCUCGGAUUUGAUUUGCAUCUGGCGGGAGGGGAAAUGGGAAAUGGGGGGGAUACCUGUAAACGCUACCGUACAGGUGGGAAAGUUCCACCCUUUUAUUCGAUGGGUGCAGCAAGGAAAAGGAAUAUUAGACUUUGCCAGACAGGUCAUCAGACCGGAUUUUUUAUCCGGUUUAUCAACCAUCAUUCCAGUUGUUUAAGUCACUGGGUGUCUGAUUUUAUUUC